UCCUCUGUAGUUCAGUCGGUAGAACGGCGGACUGUUAAUCCGUAUGUCACUGGUUAGAGUCCAGUCAGAUGAGCCA
rnacentral:tRNA from 1 species